CGCUACUUGCCGUUAUUAGUUAAAACCAAAUGUCUGCAGCGCGGUUAGUGUUUCAGUAAGGUGAUUCUAGAUAACUUGGCAGAUUGCAUAGCCUUGAGCUGGCAAUAUUUCGAUUGAAUUUCCGCCCUAUCAACUGUUGAUGGUAAGGUAGUGGCUUACCAUGGUUGCAACGGGUAACGGGGAAUCAGGGUUCGAUUCCGGAGAGGGAGCCUGAGAAACGGCUACCACAUCCAAGGGAGGCAGCAGGCGCGCAAAUUACCCAAUCCAGACAAUGGGAGGUGGUAACGAGAAGUACUGGGUGGUAGACAAUGUCUGCUAAUCUCAGAAUGAGCAUAAAGUAAACAUGUAGUCGAGUAACGACUGGAGGGCAAGUCUGGUGCCAGCAGCCGCGGUAAUUCCAGCUCCAGUAGCAUGUCGUAAAGUUGUUGCGUUUAAAACGCUCGUAGUCGGAUCAUGGAGUAUCGAUGAGUUGGUCUGCGUGUGGGGGCAAUAAAACUGUAUCCGCUAGUUUGCCGUCAUUAAUUUGAUGGUGGCUGGUGGAGAGAGCGCUAUCUACGUAGACUUGUUGCUCAUCUGUACUAU
rnacentral:rRNA from 1 species